rnacentral:rRNA from 1 species
CAACUUUCGACAAUUUUUUCUUGGUUCUCCCAUCGAUGAAGAACGCAGCGAAAUGCGAUAAGUAAUGUGAAUUGCAGAAUUCAGGAAUCAUCGAAUCUUUGAACGCACCUUGCGCUCCUUGGUAUUCCGAGGAGCAUGCCUGUUUGAGUGUCAU